rnacentral:lncRNA from 1 species
CGUAAUUGAGAUUCAGCACCUCCUGUCUCAGUCUUCCGUUCCGGGUCCCUCUCACCCUCAGCCAGCACUUCCAAAGGUCUGGAUGACCCAGACCUUCCUUCCUGAAGGAUCUGAGCAACGGUUUACCUUGGCCUCGUCGGGCUGUGGUGGCUGCAAAUGCCCAUUCACAGUUAUCGCCAGGCACGGCACUGCCAAGAGGUGACGCUGAGAGCUCUCCACGUUCCAGACAUACUUCUCACCGCUCCCGUUAUGCAGCCCUAGCUCCUCAGCACAAUCACGGUGAUUACCCCACCAGCAGAGUAACUCCUGUCGCUGCCAGCGGGGACAGUCCCAAGUGACCAGGGAGCAGGUGGAGAUCUAAAGUCCAUGGGAGAAGAGAAGAAGCCCUCCUCCCACCUCCCCACGCCAGGGACCAGCCCCUCGAAUUCCGCAGAGCCUGGAGUUGCAGGAACAGGAAGCAGAGAAUUCCCAAGUAAGUUACUUACUGCUCAGGCUCCAUGUUCUCCCUGUAAAAUGGAGAUGAUCAUACCCACCUCUGAGAAGUGCUGUGAUCAGGACAAAGUGAAAUUCUUGGUACAGUGUCUGGCACCUAGUUUGCUGCAUCCAAAUAAGAAUGACUUCCUCUUGGCAUGAAAUGGAACUCCAACGGGGACUCGCUCCAGCACAGAAAAGCCAAACCGCCAAUCUGAAUAAAUAAGCAUAAAUUUUAUUGAAUCAUGAAUAAUUUAAGACUGGUACAAUCAUCAGCUUUAUUCUCUAUGACGUGGGGCAUGAUCUCCAGCAGAUCGUUGGCAAAUCCAAAAACCUCAGGACAAAUGAAAAUUAA